rnacentral:rRNA from 1 species
CUACGGGGCGCAGCAGUGGGGAAUAUUGCACAAUGGGCGAAAGCCUGAUGCAGCAACGCCGCGUGAGUGAAGAAGGCCUUCGGGUCGUAAAACUCUUUUCUUGAGGAAGAAUAUUGACGGUACUCAAGGAAUAAGCCCCGGCUAAUUACGUGCCAGCAGCCGCGGUAAUACGUAAGGGGCAAGCGUUAUCCGGAAUCACUGGGCGUAAAGGGUGCGUAGGUGGUCAAAUAAGUCAGAAGUGAAAGGCUAUGGCUCAACCAUAGUAAGCUUUUGAAACUGUUUGACUUGAGUGCAGGAGAGGAAAGUGGAAUUCCUAGUGUAGCGGUGAAAUGCGUAGAUAUUAGGAGGAACACCAGUGGCGAAGGCGACUUUCUGGACUGUAACUGACACUGAGGCACGAAAGCGUGGGGAGCGAACAGGAUUAGAUACCCGUGUAGUC